GCAGCCGUUGCCGUUAGCAGUUGUCGCCUCUGUUAUGAUCGAAGAAACUUUCACUCGGGCAGUCAUUGAUCCAGAGCUCUGCUGAAGAAGAUAUCGACAAACGUGGUGGAUUCAGAUGAGCCUCUGUCCGCCACCUCAGUCAGCCUCUUCAGCCUGCUCAGAUGUGGAGGAAACGGUAACCCAUAAAGGGAGAUCCAGUCCCAAACCCACAAUCUGAGGAAACGGCAACCCUGCUUUUUGCAGACCACUUUCCUGCCCGGCUGUGAACUUGAAGCUGCAGAGAUAUAAAUAUAUGAGGCACUUGAAGCUAACAAUAGACUGAUUGAUCCCCAUGAGCGGCUCGGUGACAGGCCAGGCCGUCGCCGUGUCCCCCUGCUAAUCCAUGACUUUCUGGAGGAGAGGAACGCGCCCGGAAACAGAAACGAAUAAACUUCAUUGGAUCACAGAUGAGAUAUCCUACAUGUAGAUAAAGAGAGGUUGAAAAUUUAACAUCUUUCAGGACACAUAUCCCUGUUUUCUUCCGAUUUCAUUUCCUUUUUUUCUUUUUACAAAAAUGGUCUUU